GCGCAGCCUGAUGGAGCAACACCGCGUGAGUGAAGAAGGGUUUCGGCUCGUAAAGCUCUGUUGUUGGAGAAGAACGUGCGUGAGAGUAACUGUUCACGCAGUGACGGUAUCCAACCAGAAAGUCACGGCUAACUACGUGCCAGCAGCCGCGGUAAUACGUAGGUGGCAAGCGUUAUCCGGAUUUAUUGGGCGUAAAGCGAGCGCAGGCGGUUGCUUAGGUCUGAUGUGAAAGCCUUCGGCUUAACCGAAGAAGUGCAUCGGAAACCGGGCGACUUGAGUGCAGAAGAGGACAGUGGAACUCCAUGUGUAGCGGUGGAAUGCGUAGAUAUAUGGAAGAACACCAGUGGCGAAGGCGGCUGUCUGGUCUGCAACUGACGCUGAGGCUCGAAAGCAUGGGUAGCGAACAGGAUUAGAUACC
rnacentral:rRNA from 1 species